rnacentral:rRNA from 1 species
UGGGGAAUAUUGCACAAUGGGCGCAAGCCUGAUGCAGCCAUGCCGCGUGUAUGAAGAAGGCCUUCGGGUUGUAAAGUACUUUCAGCGGGGAGGAAGGGAGUAAAGUUAAUACCUUUGCUCAUUGACGUUACCCGCAGAAGAAGCACCGGCUAACUCCGUGCCAGCAGCCGCGGUAAUACGGAGGGUGCAAGCGUUAAUCGGAAUUACUGGGCGUAAAGCGCACGCAGGCGGUUUGUUAAGUCAGAUGUGAAAUCCCCGGGCUCAACCUGGGAGCUGCAUCUGAUACUGGCAAGCUUGAGUCUCGUAGAGGGGGGUAGAAUUCCAGGUGUAGCGGUGAAAUGCGUAGAGAUCUGGAGGAAUACCGGUGGCGAAGGCGGCCCCCUGGACGAAGACUGACGCUAAGGUGCGAAAGCGUGGGGAGCAAACAGG